rnacentral:rRNA from 1 species
CCUACGGGUGGCAGCAGUGGGGAAUAUUGGACAAUGGGCGAAAGCCUGAUCCAGCCAUGCCGCGUGUGUGAAGAAGGCCUUCGGGUUGUAAAGCACUUUCAGUGGGGAAGAAAGCCUUGGGGCUAAUACCCUCGAGGAAGGACAUCACCCACAGAAGAAGCACCGGCUAACUCCGUGCCAGCAGCCGCGGUAAUACGGAGGGUGCGAGCGUUAAUCGGAAUUACUGGGCGUAAAGCGCGCGUAGGCGGUCUGAUAAGCCGGUUGUGAAAGCCCCGGGCUCAACCUGGGAACGGCAUCCGGAACUGUCAGGCUAGAGUGCAGGAGAGGAAGGUAGAAUUCCCGGUGUAGCGGUGAAAUGCGAAGAGAUCGGGAGGAAUACCAGUGGCGAAGGCGGCCUUCUGGACUGACACUGACGCUGAGGUGCGAAAGCGUGGGUAGCAAACAGGAUUAGAUACCCUAGUAGUC